rfam:Bacteroidetes bacterium OLB9 TZ09_BCD002CONTIG000079, whole genome shotgun sequence.
UUUGCACUGUGAGGGACAUACGACCAGCUCCUUCUGAACUCCCCCAGGGCAGAAAUGCAGCAAGGGUAGGAGGUUGAGCGGUGCGGUGUGUUUCCUCACAUUUC